rnacentral:rRNA from 1 species
AGAGUUUGAUCAUGGCUCAGGGUUAACGCUGGCGGCGUGCGUAACACAUGCAAGUCGAACGGGCCAUUACUCUUUGGAGUGAUGGUUAGUGGCGAACGGGUGAGUAAAAGGUAGGGACCUACCCCGAGGACAGAGAUAGCUACUGGAAACGGUAGGUAAACUCUGAUAAGCCCGAGAGGGGAAAGUGGAAGGCAGCCUUGGGAUGGACCUACUAUCCAUCAGGUAGUUGGUGAGGUAAAGGCUCACCAAGCCGAUGACGGAUAACCGGUGUGAGAGCAUGUACGGUCACAAGGGCACUGAGACACGGGCCCUACUCCUACGGGAGGCAGCAGUGGGGAAUAUUGGACAAUGGGCGAAAGCCUGAUCCAGCGACGCCGCGUGAAGGAAGAAGUCCUUCGGGAUGUAAACUUCUGAACUAAUCGAAUAAAAGGGUAGUGGACACACUACAGAAGAAGGUAGAUUAGGAAAAGUCCCGGCUAACUACGUGCCAGCAGCCGCGGUAAGACGUAGGGGGCGAGCGUUGCCCGGAAUCACUGGGUGUAAAGGGGACGUAGGCGGAUGAUCAAGUCAUCUGUGAAAAGAUUGCUCAACGAUUGGCUUGCGGAUGAAACUGGUCAUCUUGGGCGUAGCAGAGGUAGACGGAAUUACCUGAGUAGGGGUGAAAUCCGCAGAUACAGGUAAGAACGCCGGUGAAGAAGUUGGUCUACUAGGCUACAGCUGACGCUGAGGUCCGAAAGCCAGGGGAGCGAACCGGAUUAGAUACCCGGGUAGUCCUGGCUGUAAACGAUGCUCACUAGGUGUAGGGAGCGAAAGACUCUCUGUGCUGAAGCUAACGCGAUAAGUGAGCCGCCUGGGGAGUACGUCCGCAAGGAUGAAACUCAAAGGAAUUGACGGGGGUCCGCACAAGCGGUGGAGCAUGUGGUUUAAUUCGAAGCUAACCGAAGAACCUUACCAGGGAUUGACAUGUAACUGAAGGUAGAGAAAUCUACUGGCCUGCCGUGAGGUAGGAGGUUACACAGGUGGUGCACGGUCGUCGUCAGCUCGUGCCGUGAGGUGUUGGGUUAAGUCCCACAACGAGCGCAACCCCUACAAUUAGUUACCAGCAAGUAAAGUUGGGGACACUAAUUGGACAGCCGCCGACGAGGCGGAGGAAGGAGGGGAUGACGUCAGAUAAGCGUGCCCCUUAUACUCUGGGCGACACACGUGCUACAAUGGGGAGGACAAAGGGAAGCGAAGCCGAGAGGUGGAGCGGAUCCGAAAAAACUCUCCGUAAUAUGGAUUGUAGGCUGAAACUCGCCUACAUGAAGCUGGAAUCGCUAGUAAUCGCGGGUCAGCCAAACUGCGGUGAAUACGUUCCCGGGCCUUGUACACACCGCCCGUCACGCCACCCGAGUUGGGAACACCUGAAGGCAGUACGGAAGGUACUGUUGAAGGUGGGCUUGGCGAGGGGGGCGAAGUCGUAACAAGGUAGCCG